GCUAGUUGUAUUAACUUUUAGUUAAUACAAGAUCGACUAUGUCGACUAAAGUUCUAGGUAGAAUAAUGAUGAUGACAAUUUUCUACCUAUAUGUCUUGACCAAAUCUCGUGCCAGCAGUCGCGGUAAUACGUGGAAGACUAGUGUUAUUCAUCUUAAAUAGGUUUAAAGGGUACCUAGACGGUAUAUCUAGCCCAAAACAGGGUACGGAUUAACUAGAGUUUUAUGUGAGAAGGGGAGUACUCUUAGAGUAAAGAUGAAAUUUUAUGAUACUAUGAGGAAACUGGUGGCGGCGAAAGCAACCUUCUAUGUAUAAACUGACGUUGAGGGACGAAGGCUUGGGUAGCAAAUAGGAUUAGAUACCCUAGUAGUCCAAGCAGACAAUUCUGAAUGCCAUAGAUUAGAUUUUUUUGAUUUAUAAAUGAAAGUGUAAGCAUUCCACCUUAGGAGUAAUGUGGCAACACAGGAACUGAAAUCAUUAGACCGUUUCUGAAACCAGUAGUGAAGUAUGUUAUUUAAUUUGAUAGUCCUCAAAAAACCUUACCACAACUUGAAUGUUAUUUAAUUAAUACAAGCGUUGCACGGCUGUCUUCAGUUAAUGUCGUGAGAUUUUGGUUAACUCCUUAAAUUAACGUAAACCCAUACUUUA
rnacentral:rRNA from 1 species